rnacentral:rRNA from 1 species
CGGACGGGUGAGUAACACGUGGAUAACCUACCUAUAAGACUGGGAUAACUUCGGGAAACCGGAGCUAAUACCGGAUAAUAUUUUGAACCGCAUGGUUCAAAAGUGAAAGACGGUCUUGCUGUCACUUAUAGAUGGAUCCGCGCUGCAUUAGCUAGUUGGUAAGGUAACGGCUUACCAAGGCAACGAUGCAUAGCCGACCUGAUAGGGUGAUCGGCCACACUGGAACUGAGACACGGUCCAG